UCAAGAGGCUGGGAAGUCCAAGAUCAAGGUGCCAGCAGAUUUGGUAUAUGGUGAGAACCAGCAUCCUGGCUUGCAGAUGGCUGUCUUUGCUGUGUCCUCACGUGGUGGAAAAGGGUUGAAAAGAAGAAUAGGACAAGGAGAAGUUAAAAGCUCCCUUGGUCAUCGAGAGAAUUAAGGUCAAACCAAGAGCUGCAAAUGAAACAGAUAUCCCUGAGUUCGGGUGUUUAAGAAACAAACUAGAAGAGUCUACCAAGAAGAUUCCUGGGGUACAAUGCCAAGGGCACCCCAACUAAAGUGCACAGAGAUUGCCCUCGCCAGAGUUAUCAACAUUUUCAUCAUGGUCACCAUUUAUUGAAUGCUUGCUGUCUACUUGGCACUGCAUUAAGAAGAGGAAAAACUAUGAUGGUCAUAGAUGCAAGAACCAAACCAAACCUUGGAAGCACAUUUAUGGCCUCUGCUCACACCAAGUCCUUAUCAUUCCAUUGGCCCAAGCAAGUUAUAUGGCAAAGUCCAACAUCCAUAAGUAACUGCUGGGAGCCCACGACUAGAACAGCCAUCAACUGCAAAUGAAGGGACAGCUCAGCUCACGUCAGAACGGAGUCUUUAAGGGCGGCUCUAUCACUUCCUCCAAGCACUUCACACCCAGCCUCCUGGAAGGGCUGCUC